rnacentral:rRNA from 1 species
ACAGCAGCCGCCGCGGUAAUACGAAGGGGGCUAGCGUUGUUCGGAUUUACUGGGCGUAAAGCGCACGUAGGCGGAUCGAUCAGUCAGGGGUGAAAUCCCAGAGCUCAACUCUGGAACUGCCUCUGAUACUGUCGAUCUGGAGUAUGGAAGAGGUGAGUGGAAUUCCGAGUGUAGAGGUGAAAUUCGUAGAUAUUCGGAGGAACACCAGUGGCGAAGGCGGCUCACUGGUCCAUUACUGACGCUGAGGUGCGAAAGCGUGGGGAGCAAACAGGAUUAGAUACCCCUGUAGUCCCUGUCUCUUAUAC